UCUAGAAUAGAUUUUUGAGCAAUGUAGCGAGUUCAGUCAUUUUACAAAGGGAAAACGCAGGCCCUCCUCUCCAUCAUCAUUCAUGAGCUUCUCAAUUCUCACGCCUCAGCGUCUGUCGUGGGAUUUUGCUCAGUCUCUCUUCGAUUGUUGCACCCAAAAAGCUGUCGUUUUUGUAUCAUCCAUAAUUGGAAAUUGGAAUCCCACCUUUAGGAACUUGCGGUCAAGAAUCACCAACCCAGCUUGAUGCCAUAGAAAAUAUUUUGGGCCCGGGAAAAGGAAAUAUCCAUCAGAGAGUUGGCGUGCGUAGAAAAAUGAAAGUUGGUGAGGGUCAAAUUUGGAAACAUGUUGGCAAUUGGCAUGCAGUGCAACUUGUUUUUAUAUCGUUUUUCUUCUGAAUAAAAUGGGUUUUGAUGAA